AUGACCUUUCUGCGCUACUCCUAUGGUCAGCUCAUCUUCUAUGACAACAAUGGGUUCCAUAUUGUUAAUCCAUUCAGUGGCGCUAAGCUUGGCCCUCCUUCCCUACAGUCAAUUCACUUCACUUGCAUCAGCUAUGUCACCUUAACUGCCCCUGUUGCAUCCGCUGAUUCGCAUCUCCUUGUCGGUGCUGGAGCCUAUCUGUUCCUGUGGCGCAUCGGGAGCGACUCUUGGACAAAACACAGCCCUAAAGUUGGUCGUUUUUCGAUUGAACAAAAUGUGACCUUCAAGGGCAAGACAUAUGCCCUAGGGUCUUUCGGGUGGUUCUACAUCAUUCACUUGUCACCCAGUCUCAUUGUUGAGAAGUUUAAAGUUGUGUUCGAGGAAGAUAAAACCGAAGAUCUCUAUUCGGCAAAUGAAAAAGCAUGGCUAGUGGUGUGUGGUGACACGCUUCUCUUGAUCAAACUUGUGGAGGCGGGAAGACGGAUGCGCUCGGAGGCCUUCCAGUUCAUGCCCUUCAAGCUUGAGUCAUUGGACACCAUGACCAAGAAGGCAAGGUGGGUGAAACUCUUCAACACUGGAAGACGUUACCUGAAAUUGGAGUCAACCUGGGUCUUCCCCGCGCGUUUCCUUGUUACGUCCUGCGAUGAUCUUACGGCCGUGAGUGCGGUUGAUGAUUAG
rnacentral:rRNA from 1 species